rnacentral:rRNA from 1 species
UACGGGGGGGGCAAGCGUUGUUCGGAAUUACUGGGCGUAAAGGGCUCGUAGGCGGCCAACUAAGUCGGACGUGAAAUCCCCAGGCUCAACCUGGGAACUGCGUCCGAUACUGGAUGGCUUGAAUCCGGGAGAGGGAUGCAGAAUUCCAGGUGUAGCGGUGAAAUGCGUAGAUAUCUGGAGGAACACCCGUGGCGAAGGCGGUUCUCUGGGACGGUACUGACGCUGAGAAACGAAAGCCAGGGUAGCAAACGGG